GCGAAGCAGGCUUACUGAGAGAAAGAUAGAAAUCGAAAGGCAAAGAGAUAGGCAAGCGAGAAAGCGCAUAGCAGCACAUAAAAACAAAGACCUUCACGCGACAACCACGCGCGACGGGCGAUGGGUGGGUGUUUGCAAGGUCCCGGGCUAUGACACCGAUCAAGCUUAAGAAUUUGUGCUGGAGGGCGGAGGCUGUAGUUCCAACUCCAACGUAUGAAGAAAG
rnacentral:misc_RNA from 1 species